GCUGGCGGCGUGCCUAACACAUGCAAGUCGAGCGCGAACGGGGGGCAACUCCCUAGUAGAGCGGCGCACGGGUGAGUAACACGUAAGUAACCUACCCUCGAGCCUGGGAUAACCUACCGAAAGGUGGGCUAAUACCGGAUAUGACCACGGAAGUUUCGGCUUCUGCGGUGAAAGAUGGCCUAUGCUUGCAAGCCAUUACUCGUCGAUGGGCCUGCGCGCCAUUAGCUAGUUGGCGGGGUAACGGCCCACCAAGGCUCUGAUGGCUAGCUGGUCUGAGAGGAUGGCCAGCCACACUGGGACUGAAACACGGCCCAGACUCCUACGGGAGGCAGCAGUGGGGGAUCUUGCGCAAUGGGCGAAAGCCUGACGCAGCGACGCCGCGUGGGUGAUGAAGGCCUUCGGGUCGUAAAGCCCUGUCGAGGGGAAAGAAACGGUCGGGGUCCAAUAGGCCUCGACCUUGACGGUACCCCUAAAGGAAGCACCGGCUAACUCCGUGCCAGCAGCCGCGGUAAUACGGAGGGUGCGAGCGUUGUUCGGAAUCACUGGGCGUAAAGCGUGUAGGCGGUCCGCUAAGUCUGAUGUGAAAGCCCGGGGCUCACCCCCGGAAGUGCAUUGGAAACUGGCGGACUCGAGUCCCGGAGAGGAGAGUGGAAUUCCUGGUGUAGCGGUGAAAUGCGUAGAUAUCAGGAGGAACACCGGUGGCGAAGGCGGCUCUCUGGACGGUGACUGACGCUGAGACGCGAAAGCGUGGGGAGCAAACAGGAUUAGAUACCCUGGUAGUCCACGCUGUAAACGAUGAGCACUAGGUGUCGCGGGUAUUGACCCCUGCGGUGCCGCAGCUAACGCAUUAAGUGCUCCGCCUGGGGACUACGGCCGCAGGUUAAAACUCAAAU
rnacentral:rRNA from 1 species